UACGUAGGGAGCGAGCGUUAUCCGGAAUUAUUGGGUGUAAAGGGUGCGUAGACGGGAAUACAAGUUAGUUGUGAAAUCCCUCGGCUUAACUGAGGAACUGCAACUAAAACUAUAUUUCUUGGGUGCAGGAGAGGUAAGUGGAAUUCCUAGUGUAGCGGUGAAAUGCGUAGAUAUUAGGAGGAACACCAGUGGCGAAGGCGACUUACUGGACUGUAACUGACGUUGAGGCACGAAAGUGUGGGGAGCAAACAGG
rnacentral:rRNA from 1 species